rnacentral:rRNA from 1 species
GCGGUGCUCCAUACCGACCUAGAGGAGCCUGUCCUAUAAUCGAUAAUCCACGCUAUACCUCACCACUUCUUGCAAUUCAGCCUAUAUACCGCCGUCGUCAGCCUACCUUAUGAAAGAAACAAAGUAGGCAAAAUAGCUAGUAACUAAAACGUCAGGUCAAGGUGUAGCACAUGAGGUGGAAGAGAUGGGCUACACUUUCUAUCAUAGAAUACACGAACAGUUCAAUGAAACUUGGACUAGAAGGUGGAUUUAGCAGUAAGAUAAACAAGAGAACUUAUCUGAAGCCCGCUCUGGAGCGCGCACACACCGCCCGUCACCCUCAUUACACUAAAUUUAACCUAAAAUAUAAAGCACUUACAAAACAGAUGAGGAAAGUCGUAACAUGGUAAGCGCACCGGAAGGUGUGCUUGGAGUAACAAAUAGUANCUUAACACAAAGCAUUCAGCUUACAAUUGAAAUAUGUUAGUGAGACCCUAACCUUUUUGA